AUCCAGCUGACGAGUCCUAAAUAGGACGAAACGCGCAAGCUGGAU
rnacentral:hammerhead_ribozyme from 1 species